UACGAAGGGGGCUAGCGUUGUUCGGAAUCACUGGGCGUAAAGCGCACGUAGGCGGAUCUUUAAGUCAGAGGUGAAAUCCCAAGGCUCAACCUUGGAACUGCCUUUGAUACUGGGGAUCUUGAGUCCGGGAGAGGUGAGUGGAACUGCGAGUGUAGAGGUGAAAUUCGUAGAUAUUCGCAAGAACACCAGUGGCGAAGGCGGCGCACUGGCCCGGUACUGACGCUGAGGUGCGAAAGCGUGGGGAGCAAACAGG
rnacentral:rRNA from 1 species